rnacentral:rRNA from 1 species
AACGAACGCUGGCGGCAGGCCUAACACAUGCAAGUCGAGCGAGGACUUCGGUCCUAGCGGCGGACGGGUGAGUAACGCGUGGGAACGUGCCCUUUGCUUCGGAAUAGCCCUGGGAAACUGGGAGUAAUACCGGAUGAGCCCUUUGGGGGAAAGAUUUAUCGGCGAAGGAUCGGCCCGCGUUGGAUUAGGUAGUUGGUGGGGUAAUGGCCUACCAAGCCGACGAUCCAUAGCUGGUUUGAGAGGAUGAUCCGCCACACUUGGGCUGAGACACGGGCCAGAACCCUACGGGGGGGAGGAGGAGGGAACACUAGAAAAUGGGGGAAAACCUGAUAUAGCCAUGCCGCGUGAGCGAUGAAGGCCUUAGGGUUGUAAAGCUCUUUCAGCUGGGAAGAGAAUGACGGUACCAGCAGAAGAAGCACCGGCUAACUCCGUG